rnacentral:rRNA from 1 species
CAGCCGCCGCGGUAAUACCGGCGGCCCGAGUGGCGGUCACUAUUAUUGGGCUUAAAGCGUCCGUAGCCGGGUUGGGAAGUCCUCCGGGAAAUCUGGCCGCUUAACGGUCAGAAUGCCGGAGGAUACUCCCAGCCUAGGGAGCGGGAGAGGCCGAGGGUAUUCCCGGGGUAGGGGUGAAAUCCUAUAAUCCCGGGAGGACCACCGGUGGCGAAGGCGCUCGGCUGGAACGCGUCCGACGGUGAGGGACGAAGGCCAGGGGAGCAAACCGGAUUAGAUACCCGGGUAGUCCUGGCUGUAAACGAUGCGGACUUUGUGUCGGACAAGCUAUGAGCUUGUCCGGUGCCGGAGGGAAACCGUUAAGUCCGCCGCCUGGGGAGUACGGCCGCAAGGCUGAAACUUAAAGGAAUUGGCGGG